GAUGAAGAACGUAGCGAAAUGCGAUAAGUAAUGUGAAUUGCAGAAUUCAGUGAAUCAUCGAAUCUUUGAACGCGCAUUGCGCCCCUUGGUAUUCCGAGGGGCAUGCCUGUUCGAGCGUCAUUAUAACCCCUCAAGCUCAGCUUGGUGUUGGGGCCUGCUGCACUGGCAGCCCUUAAAAUCAGUGGCGGCGCCAUCUGGCUCUAAGCGUAGUAAUUCUUCUCGCUAUGGAGUCCUGGUGGAUGCUUGCCAUCAACCCCCAAUUUUUCUAUGGUUGACCUCGGAUCAGGUAGGGAUACCCGCUGAACUUAAGCAUAUCAAUAAGCGGAGGA
rnacentral:misc_RNA from 1 species